AUCGGUAAAUGCAAACCUGUCUAAGGUAGGGAUGCAAAGCUAAAGAGCCUUUAAAUGGCUUACAGCUACCGAAA
rnacentral:ncRNA from 1 species